UGACGUAAACAUAAUAAUUUCAUUUAUUUUUAAUCUUACAAUCGCUUAUAUAUCAAAUCUAUCUUAUCUACAUAAAUGUGUGUGUGAUAUCGGUUGUUUUUAAAUGUGCAACUCAAUGCUAAAAAUGUUCGUAUUGAUAAAUGUUGAAUGCAUGUGUGUGGCAUCCCUACAAGAAGCUGCUGAAACAACUCACAUUUAUUAUGUCCGUACUGACAGUCAAAUGAACAGUAAAAUGACUGUCAGUGUUUACAAUUUUUCUAAAAGCAAAUUCGGUAUACGUCGACAGCAUACAUUUCCAUAAAAGUUUCGAGAAGUUGUGAAAUACUUAUGUAACUAUAUUUCGUGCGAUAAACCAAAACUGUUGCGUGCUUCUGUGUAAUAACUUUCGUUUUAUUAAAAAUAAAUAAAUAACGAAGGAGUUUUCAAAUAUAAUAUACGCAUUUUUAAAUUCCAAAAUAUUCAUGACAUAAAGAAACACGUACAGCAGAGCUUUUGGGAGGAGCAAGCAUAAAAACAAACUUCCUCCAAGUACACCACUCUACUCGGGAAAAACUGGCUCACCCUAAUGAAAUACACCACACCUGCGAACACUUAAGGAAUUUCACCCCAUACGACGACACCACCACUCUCAACCUCUGAGAACAACAUGCACGAAGUCACCUAACAAAAAGAACGGGACCAUCGCUAAAUCUGCGUUCGCUUAAACGGAUCCGAUUGAACAGCUGGCACGAAAGUUGCAACUUUAUACGUGAACCAUCGCGGUCACCGCAUCAAUGCUUAUGCAAUUCAACAACGCAACACGUGAUUUUUGGAUCCUCUCCGCCUCUUGUUUUCGGCCAGAACAUUUGUAGCGUCGGACAUUUUUAUUUACGAUGUUUUGUGCAAGUAUCUAAAAUAUUCAUGGUCCUUCGAGCCUUACUGAAAGGCACCUUCGGAUUUUUACAAAAAACUGUGUUAAGAAAUACAAUAAAUAAUUAUAGUGGUGACAACGAAACAGAAGC